UACGUAGGGUGCGAGCGUUGUCCGGAAUUACUGGGCGUAAAGAGCUCGUAGGUGGUUUGUCGCGUUGUUCGUGAAAACUCACAGCUCAACUGUGGGCGUGCGGGCGAUACGGGCAGGCUAGAGUUCGGUAGGGGAGACUGGAAUUCCUGGUGUAGCGGUGAAAUGCGCAGAUAUCAGGAGGAACACCGGUGGCGAAGGCGGGUCUCUGGGCCGAUGACUGACGCUGAGGAGCGAAAGCGUGGGGAGCGAACAGG
rnacentral:rRNA from 1 species